UAUGUAGGUGGCAAGCGUUGUCCGGAUUUACUGGGCGUAAAGAGCGCGCAGGCGGUCGUUUAAGUCGAAUGUGAAAGCCCCCGGCUCAACUGGGGAGGGUCAUUCGAUACUGAUCGACUUGAAGGCAGGAGAGGGAAGUGGAAUUCCGGGUGUAGUGGUGAAAUGCGUAGAUAUCCGGAGGAACACCAGUGGCGAAGGCGACUUCCUGGCCUGUUCUUGACGCUGAGGCGCGAAAGCUGGGGGAGCAAACGGG
rnacentral:rRNA from 1 species